rnacentral:rRNA from 1 species
UUGCCUACGGGGGGCAGCAGUGGGGAAUAUUGCACAAUGGGGGAAACCCUGAUGCAGCGACGCCGCGUGAGUGAAGAAGUAUCUCGGUAUGUAAAGCUCUAUCAGCAGGAAAGAUAAUGACGGUACCUGACUAAGAAGCCCCGGCUAACUACGUGCCAGCAGCCGCGGUAAUACGUAGGGGGCAAGCGUUAUCCGGAUUUACUGGGUGUAAAGGGAGCGUAGACGGAAUCGCAAGUCUGAUGUGAAAAUCCGGGGCCCAACCCCGGAAGUGCAUUGGAAACUGUAUUUCUAGAGUGUCGGAGAGG